rnacentral:rRNA from 1 species
AUGAAGAGACUUUUGAGGGGCUCAUCGAGCCGAAGCUCUAAGGAAAAACAAAAGGAAGAAGAGGAGAAGCCCAAAUUUAAUUUACCUCACACCGCGGAGGUCCGGCCUUGUGAAUGGCCUUCCGAUGACUUCUUGAGGAGAGCUGGGAUUCAUGAAGAUUUCCAUUUAUUGAUUGAGAAUGCUGGCCUCACCAACUUCCUCCACGACCAACGUCAUCAGUAUCUCUUACUCAUAAAUACUUUUGUGCAAAACUUCUACUUUUUUCCUAAGAAAUCACCUCCAACAGUAGUGUUUCAUUUAUAUGACAUUGCUAAAGAGAUGACUUUAGCAGAAUUCUGCGAGGUUUGCAGAAUACCCUUUGAGGGCACCUUAGAUGAACCCCACCAUAACGAAUUAGAAGUUUUUGUUAACACCAUCACGGUAGGAGAAACCAGGAAGGUUUCUGAUGUAAGGAUCACUAGCAUACAUUAUCCUGUUUUAUGCUACUUUGCCUUAUUUGCUAGUCAUUGCUUGAUUGGACGCGGGAACUGUGGGAACCUUAGUAUUCCUGAUAUUAUUAUUUUGCUCCAUGGUUUAUACCACAAUAACUCUGUUAGUAUGGGUGGAAUUGUUGCUAGACGGUUAAGCCUGAACCGUACUAAGGGCCCCAUCUUUGAAGGCAUUUAUGCUUCACGCCUAGCUGAACAUUUUGAAAUACCUAUUAGGCAUGAGGAGGAAGAAGAAACAGCGCUGCCCCGUGUUUAUUUAGAUUAUAAGAGUAUGAUAGCGCAUGAUUUCCUUGUUAAGAGUCGCGAUGGGGAGCUCAAAUAUAAAUUGUACUUUGAUAAACAUCAGCCUGAGACUAUUACUUUGCCUACUCCUUUGUUUAACUUGUCUGCAGGACCUCACAUCGUUUCGUGGUCGGCCGUUCAAGCCUAUCGGAACCCUGCACCAGCCCCGGAGCUGGUGCCGUAA